UUGACUAUUGUUUUACAUAAUUGUUAUUCAUAUUUUUACACAAAAGAUAUAGAUUUGUCAAAAGAACUAGAAGAAGACAAAAUAUCAGAAUGUAAACUGGAAAAUGAGAGUUUUGAUAAAGAUGCAGAAAAUCAAAGUUUUAGUGUGUCUAAUGGACUGCAUGAAACUUCCGCAGAUGCUCUCCAUUCAUUCAACAUGGACAAUGGUGCAGAAAGAAAUGUAAUAGAGCAUCUAGAGAAAAAAUCAAUCAUAGAAGACAAAAUACAGAUCUCAGAAGAAGAAAAGGAACAAAAGAGUGUUAGAACAAGCAAGAGGCCAUUUGUAAGUAAAUAUUGAAAUUAAAAUCACACACUUUAUAUUGUUUCCACAGUAAUGUUUUUUCGGCCAAGUACG
rnacentral:lncRNA from 1 species